ensembl:lncRNA
GUCAGUUGUAUGAUACGAUUUUACACAUAUAAACACGCGAACACGUUACUUUUAAAUUCAGAUUUUAUUUGUCACGUACACAGUCAUACACAGUACGAUAUGUAGUGAAAUGCUUGGACAACUGCUCGUGACCUAAAGAAAACAAAAAAGGAAAAGGCUAUGAAUAAGAUAGGAAAUAAAUAUGAAAAAUUAAAAAGGGUAAAUUUAACUAGGAAGGAAUAAAAUAUAAAUUAAGGUUAAAAAUGAAAUAACUGUACAACACAAAUUAGAAUGAAGGGUAAAUUUAACUGGGAAGAAUAAGAUAAAAUAUAUAAAUUAAAGUUAAAAAUGAAAUAACUGUACAACACAAAUUAGAAUGAAGGGUAAAUUUAACUGGGAAGAAUAAGAUAAAAUAUAUAAAUUAAAGUUAAAAAUGAAAUAACUGUACAACACAAAUUAGAAUGAAGGGUAAAUUUAACUGGGAAGAAUAAGAUAAAAUAUAUAAAUUAAAGUUGAAAAUAAAAUAACUGUACAACAAAAUACACAAUAUAGAACUAUAUAAGAAUGUAUGAAGAAAUGUAAAUCUAAAUAAAUAUAUACACAAUAACAGCAGCUGUACAAGUAUUAACCGGAAAUGAAGAAUAUAGUGACCAGUGUUGUGCAAAACCAAAGUCCAGAAAGUCCAGUGUGUGUGUAAGAACCAUAUGUGUGAGUCAGUACUGUGUGGUGGUGUGAUUGAGAGACCGUAUCGCCUGCGGGAAGAAGCUCCUCCUCAGUCUCUCUGUGUUGGUCUUCAGGGAGCGGAAUCGCUUUCCCGACCUCAACAGAGAGAACAGUCUGUUGUUGGGAUGGCUGAGGUCC